rnacentral:rRNA from 1 species
UACGUAGGGAGCAAGCGUUGUCCGGAUUCACUGGGUGUAAAGGGUGCGCAGGCGGAUUGGCAAGUCAGAGGUGAAAUCUCACGGCUCAACCGUGAAACUGCCUUUGAUACUGCUGAUCUUGAGUUAGGGAGAGGUUGAUGGAAUUCUAGGUGUAGCGGUGAAAUGCGUAGAUAUCGGAAGGAACACCUGUGGCGAAAGCGGCUCACUGGACCAUAACUGACGCUGAGGCGCGAAAGCUAGGGGAGCAAACAGG